GGUGGAGGCUUGGCGCUGCCUGUCUGUCUGGAGCCGUGUCUUGCGUGGAACCCCUGAGUGCAGCUGGGCACUGCUGGCUGCAGGUGAAGGCUUUGUGCCUCCCUGGUACCUAAUAAUGGAGGCUGUUUUCUGCACCAGCCUUGGAAAGCUCCAUUCCGAUUGUGAGACUUCUGGAUCAUUUCUCUCCAAGCAGAAUGGCCUGAAGUGCAGGCAGCACGCACGAAACCAAGUGCUGUGAUGGAACUUCUCUGAUGGGAUUCUGGGAAGGAGGACAUUCUAAAAUAUGACAUACCAGGGUAUCUGCG
rnacentral:lncRNA from 1 species